GGGGUUGUGGCUUAGUGGUAGAGCAAUCACCUAGCAUGAGAGGCACUGGGUUUGAUCCUCAGCACCACA
rnacentral:tRNA from 1 species